AGAGUUUGAUUCUGGCUCAGAACGAACGCUGGCGGCAGGCUUAACACAUGCAAGUCGAGCGAUCCCUUCGGGGAUAGCGGCGGACGGGUGAGUAACGCGUGGGAACGUGCCCUCUUCUGCGGGAUAGCCACUGGAAACGGUGAGUAAUACCGCAUACGCCCUUUUGGGGAAAGAUUUAUCGGAGGAGGAUCGGCCCGCGUUGGAUUAGGUAGUUGGUGGGGUAAUGGCCUACCAAGCCGACGAUCCAUAGCUGGUUUUAGAGGAUGAUCAGCCACACUGGGACUGAGACACGGCCCAGACUCCUACGGGAGGCAGCAGUGGGGAAUCUUAGACAAUGGGCGCAAGCCUGAUCUAGCCAUGCCGCGUGAGUGACGAAGGCCCUAGGGUCGUAAAGCUCUUUCGCCUGUGAUGAUAAUGACAGUAGCAGGUAAAGAAACCCCGGCUAACUCCGUGCCAGCAGCCGCGGUAAUACGGAGGGGGUUAGCGUUGUUCGGAAUUACUGGGCGUAAAGCGCGCGUAGGCGGAUUGGAAAGUUGGGGGUGAAAUCCCGGGGCUCAACCCCGGAACUGCCUCCAAAACUUCCAGUCUGGAGUUCGAGAGAGGUGAGUGGAAUUCCGAGUGUAGAGGUGAAAUUCGUAGAUAUUCGGAGGAACACCAGUGGCGAAGGCGGCUCACUGGCUCGAUACUGACGCUGAGGUGCGAAAGUGUGGGGAGCAAACAGGAUUAGAUACCCUGGUAGUC
rnacentral:rRNA from 1 species